GUGGUGAUGAUGGAGGUGGUGAUGGAGGUGGUGGUGGUGAUGGUAGUGGUGGUGAUGGAGGUGGUGGUGGUGGUGGUGAUGGUGGUGGUUGUGAAAGUGGUGGUGGUGGUAGUGGUGGUGAUGGAGGUGGUGAUGGAGGUGGUGGUGGUGGUGAUGGAGGUGGUGGUGAAAGUGGUGAAAGUGGUGGUGGUGGAGAAAGUGGUGAAAGUGGUGGUGGUAGUGGUGGUGGUGAAAGUGGUGGAGGUGGUGGUAGUGGUGAUGAUGGAGGUGGUGAUGGAGGUGGUGGUGGUGGUGAAAGUGCUGGUGAAAGUGGUGGUGGAGGAGAAAGUGGUGAAAGUGGUGGUGGUAGUGGUGGUGGUGAUGAUGGUGAAAGUCAUGGUGGUGAAAGUGGUGAAGGUGGUGGUGAUGGAGGUGUUGAUGGAGGUGGUGGUGGUGGUAGUGGUGGUGUUGGAGGUGGUGGUGAAAGUGAUGGUGGUGGAGAAAGUGCUGAAAGUGGUGGUGGUAGUGGUGGUGGUGGAGGUGGUGGUGGUGGUGGUGAUGGUGGUGGUUGUGAAAGUGGUGAUGGUGGUGGUAGUGGUGGUGAUGGAGGUGGUGAUAGAGGUGGUGGUGGUAGUGGUGGUAUUGGUGGUAGUGGUGGUGGUGAAAGUGGUGAUGGUGGUGGUAGUGGUGGUGAUGGAUGUGGUGGUGGUGGUGAAAAUGGUGGUGGUGGAGAAAGGUGUGAAAGUGGUGGUGGUAGUGGUGAAAGUGGUGAUGGUGGUGGUUGUGAAAGUGGUGAUGGCGGUGGUGGUUGUGAAAGUGGUGAUCUCUACAUCACUGUAGAGAUCUACAUACAGUGAUG
ensembl:lncRNA